UCAGCUCGUGUCGUGAGAUGUUGGGUUAAGUCCCGCAACGAGCGCAACCCUAUCCCAGUUGCCAUCAGGUAAAGCUGGGAACUCUGGGGAGACUGCCGGUGAUAAACCGGAGGAAGGCGGGGAUGACGUCAAGUCCUCAUGGCCCUUACAUCCCGGGCUACACACGUGCUACAAUGGCAGGUACAGAGGGCUGCGAAGCCGCGAGGUGGAGCGAAUCCCAGAAAACCUGUCUCAGUCCGGAUUGAAGUCUGCAACUCGACUUCAUGAAGGCGGAAUCGCUAGUAACCGCGAAUCAGCAGGUCGCGGUGAAUACGUUCCCGGGCCUU
rnacentral:rRNA from 1 species